rnacentral:rRNA from 1 species
UGAGGAAUAUUGGACAAUGGGCGCAAGCCUGAUCCAGCCAUGCCGCGUGCAGGAAGAAGCAUCUAUGGUGUGUAAACUGCUUUUGUACGGGAAGAAACACUCCUUCGUGAAGGAGCUUGACGGUACCGUAAGAAUAAGGAUCGGCUAACUCCGUGCCAGCAGCCGCGGUAAUACGGAGGAUCCAAGCGUUAUCCGGAAUCAUUGGGUUUAAAGGGUCCGUAGGCGGUUUAGUAAGUCAGUGGUGAAAGACCAUCGCUCAACUAUGGAACGGCCAUUGAUACUGCUAGACUUGAAUAAGUAAGAAGUAACUAGAAUAUGUAGUGUAGCAGUGAAAUGCUUAGAUAUUACAUGGAAUACCAAUGGCGAAGGAAGGUUACUGCUAAUGGAUUGACGCUGAUGGACGAAAGCGUGGGGAGCAAACA